AUGGUGGUGGUGGGUGGCCGGGUGGGUCUGUGUGAACCCUUUAAGGAGUAUUUCUUUGUUAACUCAUACCCUGUGGAUCUCAUGGAGGCAACUCUGGUGGCUUUCACAACUUGGAAGUUUCAUGUGCUCAUCUCUCAGAUGCAUGUCUUAAAAGUUGGGUCGCCUGAUGUGGGGUUCAAUCUGUUCGUUCAUCAGGGAGAAUCUCAGAGUUGUCAGUUCCCUCUUGAUUGUGGGUUGCUUCAUCAGGUUUAUCAUGAAAUUGUCUCAGCCUCUUCUCCUUGUUUCGAUGUGGGUUUUUUCCAUUUAUCUGUAUGGACAAAUCACUUACCUAGUUUUGGGGUUUCUUUCAGGGGAAAUAUUCUGUAUACAGCUGUAGAUUUGGUGUGUCCCUGGCAGGAGGUGUGCUCAGGAUCCUUUUAUGUCACCGUCUUAAACUGGACCCUGUCUCUUUUUGGAAACAUUUGUUGAGAUCCUUUUCUUGAGAGAAGCUGGAGGCAGCUCAUAGACCACUGCAGGGUCUACAGCCAGGACUGCUAUCUGUCAACAGAGAAACAUGAGGGGGUAAGACUCCUCCUGGGUCCCUUGGUGGAUCCCACAGUUCUCUCAAAGUCACUUUUGAUCACAGAUAGAUGGCAGUGUUUUGAUGAGGGAUGGGCACAGAUUUUGGUCUUAUGGCCAUGAUGCUAAUGUCAUCCCUCACCCUUCAAUAGUGUCAGCUAUAAUAUAUGCACAUUUGUGUGCAUAUAUAUAUUUGCAUAUGUAGGAGUAUUUAUAUCAGAUGAAGUCCCAGAAUGACUAGAUAAAAGGGUAUAUUUAGUUUUCAUUUUGACAGUAAAAUUGCUCUUUAUAAAGGUUUAUACUCUAUCCACAGUACAUGAGAACACCUAUUUCCCCAAAUCCUGAUUUGAUUUUAUCAGAGUAAAAUCAAAAUUUGAUUUUGUGAAAGAAGCCAUUCAUUGUGGAUCUACUUUGCAUUUAUCUUAUUAAAAGGAGGUAAUUUUCCCAUGUUUAUGAGAUACUUAGUUUCCUGUGAACUAUCUAUGUUCUCUGCAUUUUUCUGUUUCAGGUUUUGGUCUUUUAUUUAUUAGGUCACUGGAGCUCUGUCAUAUUUAGAAUACCUUUUUUUUUCCCUGUAAGAAACAAAAACUCAAGUUUUCAAAAGGGACACUCACUUCCAGCCCAUCCCACGAUGGACUAUAAAGGUUUCCAGAAUGGGGGUAUUUGUGCCUCAGUGCAGGCAAAAACCCUUGCAUGGAAAUAUGCUGAAAUCUCUCUACAGAUUCAGCUUUCCUUCCAGCUGAGUGAUUUGCAAGCUUUGGCUUUACUGGAAAAUGUUUUAGACUCAGAUGAGAAUUAAACAGGCAGAACUGCUGAAUGAGAGCCAAAAGUGAAGUGUCACCUGCCCCAACAGGGAAUCAAAGGGAUGCAAAGGGAUAAGCACAUAAGAAGACAAACCAGGGAGUAUCUUUUUAAAACAAAAUUACCUAGGGUACCCAAGUACAGAAAGCCAAAGAGGAGCUCUGCAUUCGGGGUCAAUGUGGAGUCCACGGAGUGAAACCAAGAAGGGGAGCCCUUGGCCCAAGGAAGAGCUGUCCUUGUCCUGGGGUUGGGGGCCAUUGGCGGUGGUGAGGUCUGUGUUGCUGGGCUGGGCAGCAUCAGGAAGCUUCUCUAGGGAGGUUUUCUGAAACUCGCCUUCCCUCCUGGCGUUUUUUCCCUAGCACAUGUGCUCCUUGGUACAGAAGGCCCUGUUUGAGGAGGAGGACCACAUCCAGAAGCUGCAGCAGAAGGUGGCCACCCUGGAGAAGGGGAACAAGCAGGUGUGAGAUCCAGUGAAGAAGGUCAAGGAGGUCCCAAGUGCACAAGAACGGCUGCUGCCUGGAGCUGCUAAACUGAAAGAGAAGCUGCCAGGUGGACUCCUGCCCAUCAGCACACAGGGGUGGGAGCUGGGGGAUGCCCCCUACCUGUGGGGAUAGUGAGGGGCCUUUCACAUGGAGCGAAAGGGGUUGUGGGUAGAUUUGUAGAUGAUAGUUUAUUAUUAUGCAUUGGGUAGCGUCUCGUUGGUGGGCAGGGCAAGUCUUGCUAUCUUCUUGGCUGCCAGACUCCUACCCUCCCUGACCUGGUCCCAGAUUCAAUGCUCAGUGUCAUGUGCUUGCCUGGGGCCUGUCACCGGCUUCCAAGAACAGCUUGGAAAGUGCACUUAUUAGGGGAAAAAAAAUUUUUUUUCAAAUCUCUAGAGGUACAAAAACUCAGGGAGUUCCACUUUUAUUAUUUCAGAAGAGAGGUAGAGUGGUCUCAGCACUGAGCUGCAGGACAAGUAUGAGUUUGGAGGCGUAAUCAGAAGCAAGUCGUGGAAGCUUCUGGUGUCAGUACACGUAAAUGAGCUCAUCACUGGUCAGGGAAUGGAGCUGGGAGUGGGGCAGUAGGUAACUAAACAUGGAGCUCACCUCCUCCAACAGAUACAUCAAAAAAUACAUCUAGAUGUGGAACAAUUCUCACGGAACACCUACUGCGCGCUGGCAGGUAAAAGGACCAAAGUUGUAGGACAGAGCUCCAUGUACCCAGGUAAGUAUGAAAGAAUAAAAGAAAAGGAAUUGGGACAGAAUCGGCACCCCUGGGAGGGAGUCGUGAAAGAGAAGGGUUACUUGACCCUGGGAACCCCCUUCACCAGCUGUAAAGUCAACUAGGGCAGAAAGGAAGCUUCAAAGGCUCUGACGAGAGGGCAGCAAUAGAACUGUGGCAGGCAACACGAGAGCUUAGCACGGAUGGUUUAGGCCACCUCCUUGCACUCCCCGGCCUGAGAUGUGUGUCUGCUGGUGCAUGCAGGGGGCUGGAUGUUGAAACUUGGGCUUCAGUGGACAGACCUGAGGAGAGGGCUGGGUACCGCUGCACAGAGACCUCCGGAAGGGGCUGGACUGUAACCUGAGCUACACCCAAGGGUGUGCACAGGGCGGAGCCUGGGUCUGCCAUAGAAACCCCAUGGUUAAGGCACGUAUGAAGGAAGGGCAGGGCACCACCAAGGCAGCCUCAUUCUCAGCAUGUUCGGCUCUGCCUCUACCAGCCCU
rnacentral:lncRNA from 1 species